UCUGUGACACCUUCUGCAUCCAAGUUCCUGUGGCUCACAGACCAGAGUGUUUUUCUCUUCUCUGUACCAAAGGGAGAUUUCAACAGGAUCCCAGCACAGAGAGAAAACGCACCAGGAGUUGCUUGAGGAGACCCCCAUAAAAGAUGAGUUCUUGCUCUCUCCUUAUGUGAUGUUUUUCCAAAGCCCCAUGGAUGUUCAUGACAGGUGGCCUUGGCAAAGGAUUAGAACACCAGUUCUUUCUACAUAGAUAAACAGAAGGGCUUGAGAACAAAAAGCCUUUUGUUCAAAGUGUAUGUCUGAAACCAAGACUGACAAUAGCAGCUGAUGCGCUGAGGUUCACUACACGCUCAAGAUAAGCUCUUGCUCCUGCUCACAGGGAAGCUGUCAAGAAGAACCUCUAGGAUAUUAGGUGGCUGGAGAGAGUUUAAAGCCUUUGAACACUUACCA